UCCUAAAACUAUAAUAAGUUUCGAAGAGAGAUUAAGCUAAGUAAUUUGAUAACAGAACACAAAUGCAUGACGCUAAAAGAAUCACGUACAAACUACUUUUAAAAUGUUGUUAUUCAUAUACAUGCUAAAAAUAUAUUUAAAUUUUAUAAUAACCUACUGCAAAUAAACAAAACCCCAGAAUCAUACAAAAACAAGUUUUCUUUUGCUUACAGCUUAAACACAGUUUGAAAGAAAGAGUACUUACAUACUUAAAAUAAUUAUUUAGUAGUUUUUAUGAAUAUGGGCGUUAAUUUUUUAUUUUAUUUUAUUGUCCGUCGUGUGACGGAAAAAAUACUUAUUAUUAAAUACUCCUUACUUAAGAAUGAAGAACCUUUUACUGGUAAAAGAGUAUAUUAGUGUGUGUUAUAACAUGAAUAUUAUGUAAAAAAUGCAUAGUUUGUUUAAGGAAAAUCAAAGUAUAAAUAUAUAAUAUGAAUCACCCUGUGCUUACAUCUGUUCCCUUAUCUCACAUAUGCGGGUUAUUUGUACAAUUAAUUGCAACAUUUUACUACGCAUAAAAGACUAGUCUUUUCAUUUUUUCUCAUCGGUUCGUCUGCAAACAUGUUCAAGUUAUUAUUAUUAACCGCUCUUGUUACUGUGUGCGUUAACGCAAAAAUAUUAAAGGGAGUGAUUGAUGAAGAACCGGUUUUUAAUAUGAAAAAUCUUGAAGAUGAGGUGAACGAAAAUGAUUUAAGCUACCCCCCUGAUGUGGCUAUUCCGGGGAUAUAUGACAUUCAAUGCAGGGAAAUUGGCGAGUUUUGUAACUAUCACACAGACUGCUGCAGCAACGCUUGUUUGGGCUACAUGAAGCGAUGUGUCUCUGGUUCAGGAUAGAACAAAUCGUUAACAUAAGAUUUGAUUUGAUUUUAUACCUUUAUAAGUCGCCUAAAAUAUCAAGAAUCAUGUAGCAAACGAUUUGUGUUCUAAAACAAGGUUUUAUUAAAGAUUUGUAAUAACUAACAA